UCCCUGAUAGCUCAAUCGGCAGAGCGGGCGGCUGUUAACCGCUAGGUUGUAGGUUCGAGUCCUACUCGGGGAGCCA
rnacentral:tRNA from 1 species